rnacentral:rRNA from 1 species
UUUACGGGAGGCAGCAGUAGGGAAUUUUCCGCAAUGGGCGAAAGCCUGACGGAGCAAUACCGCGUGAGAGAUGACUGCCUAUGGGUUGUAAACCUCUUUUUUCAGGGAGGAAUAAAUGACGUGUACCUGAAGAAUAAGCAUCGGCUAACUCCGUGCCAGCAGCCGCGGUAAU